rnacentral:lncRNA from 1 species
UGGCAUGUUUUUUUUUAUUUUGCAUGUUCAGUUGAAGCUUCUCCAGUAGAAAAGUUCCUCAAAGCUGAAAGGAUAUCUGUAGACAGCUUUAAGGGAGAAAAUACUUUCAAUGGGGACCAGUCGGAUGCCCACAUGAGCACACUCUCUCAGAGUAGUAAAGAGGACCACUCUGUUUCUGAAGGGUCUCCAAAGAAGGACAAAAAGAAGAAGAAGGGGUUAAGAACUCCUUCAUUCUUGAAGAAGAAAAAAGAAAAGAAAGUUCGUGACGCAUAGGUUUUCAAAGGAAUUUUGAGGUUAUAAAAAAA